UACAGAGGGUGCGAGCGUUGUUCGGAAUUACUGGGCGUAAAGCGCGCGCAGGCGGCCCUUUAAGUCCGUCGGUCAAAUGCCGGGCUCAACCCCGAGCGUGCCGAGGAUACUGGAGGGCUGGAGACACGUAGAGGCAAGCGGAAUUCCGGGUGUAGCGGUGGAAUGCGUAGAGAUCCGGAAGAACACCGGAGGCGAAGGCGGCUUGCUGGGCGUGAUCUGACGCUGAGGCGCGAAAGCGUGGGGAGCGAACAGG
rnacentral:rRNA from 1 species